AGCGUGCAAAACUAACUGUUCAAUCAAAGAGUGUUUUCUCCAAGGUCGGUGUUCAGUCAAACAGUGCUUUCUCCAGCUGACCAAUGGGAGCGGUCCUCUCUGAUCACAUGACUAGUUGGCAUAAGCUGUUUUAACACGUGGUUCAGUACUGAAAGUAAGGUUAUGUAAGUAUUGGAAACACUGGAGCUCGUAAAAGACAGGCAACUGGCAAAAGAAGAAAA